AUGAUAGUUCAGUACUGUGAUGAUCCAGAUGGAGGCGAGAAUUUUUCAUCAAUCUUCGAUCUAGCCCUUGGCAGUGAAAGUUGGUCUCGACGGCGACCUACAUGGCUUGGCACCUAUGGAAAGAGAGGAACGUGUGGAUUUUCCAGAAGGAGAACUCUACGGUUGAUGAAAUUUUGGACGAGGAGCUUGCUGAUGUCUAUGGCAGUUGAUCUAGAUGGCGGCCAGGUCAAGUUUGUUCUUUUGAGAAAAUUUGGUGAUUGUAGGAAUAGGAACUUGCUACUGGUGUUGCUCAGCAGUCUAUGA
rnacentral:rRNA from 1 species